GACGGAAUAGUUUAGUGGUAGAACAUCCGAAUCAUAAUCGGAAUGUCGUAGGUUCAAUUCCUACUUCCGUCA
rnacentral:tRNA from 1 species